rnacentral:ncRNA from 1 species
AUAAUAGGUUGAUGUGUCUGAAUAGUUCUUAUCGACAUAGUCUUUUGGCACCUCGACAUCAACUCAUCACACCCUGGGGUUGAAGAAGGUCCCAAGGGUUAAGUCAUUCUCCAAUUCGAGUAGUACGUGAGCUGGGUUUAGAACGUCGUGACACAGUUC